rnacentral:lncRNA from 1 species
GCAUAGUAAAUUGAAUGGCGCUUGCUGGAGAAGAACAAAAGUGAAAGCAAAGAGCCAGUGUGUUGGUCGGAAGAGAGGAUCCACAGAGCACUUGGGGAGAGCCUUCAGAAACUCAUUCUGAUAUCAGGAAAUACAUCCAGGAUUAUUGUUCCAGUCUACAGCUGAGAUUACCAACUGUGAAGGUCACCUAAUAAGAGUACUUAUUGUUCUGGUCACAUUUCCAUGAAGGAAGCUUGGUUUCCUCUAUUCCUUUUCCAAGAAGGUCUUCCACCUGCAAAAACAAUCACUUAACGCAGCAGAAGCCAAGAACUGACAAACCAGUGCCACGGACAACCUUCCUCAGCAGGACUGUUCUCAGAAAUGUAGAAACUCUGUGGAAACACCGAUAUUGUAUCUUCAUAAAGUAUCUGCUUAUUUGGAUAUUUUAGAUCCAGUAGCCAGAAACAUUUGUAAGUUACCAGCCAAUUUCUGUUUUGCCAAAAAGAAUUUCAUGUGAUUUCUGAUGCAUGGUAAUAUUACUUACAAAGAGUUUUACUUUCUUUCUGAAAUUAAAUUUAUGACUACACUGGAUACCUCAUCAAAUUUCUGAAUGUAUGUGCUAUUACCUUCCGGGGCAUAUUCUUGCUCUUGCAGUCUCUCUUUUUCCAUAUAGAGAUGUGUAUACCAAACAUGCAAACAUUUACUUGCAAACUUCUGUAAAUUGUCACAUUCAGCACCUGUUUCUAAAGGAUGACAUGAAUUAGAACAAAAAUAUUGCUUACUAACAUGUAGAUUGUGCAAGGUAUUAUGCUAAGUGGUUUAUUUACAUAACUCAACUCAAUUGUAUCAAUCCUCCCACAACCUUGAAUUUUAGAUAUUGAUAUUCUCGUUUCAUACGUGAAUUACAUAUAGAUCACUGAGAUUCAGAAAUGUUCCCAAGAGUGUGUGGUUAAUGAGUUCCGGGGCCAGGAUCUGAACCAAGGUCUGUACAACUCCAAAAUCACAUAAUUAUUAAAGACUUAUUUCAUAUCCUUAACAUUUCAUUUUCAUACUUUUCCACAUUUUUAAAAUCUCACUAAGUGAAUUGAAUAGUUCUGAUGAGUGUGAGUCUAUAUUUCCUCAAGCGUACUUUUCUUCUUUUGUAUCCUGUUGUAAAUCCAUACACAGGAGUUGAAGAAAUUUAACCUUCAUUGAUAAUUUAUUAUUAAAAUGUCCCUUUCUGCUGUGACUCCUACUUUACAUUAUUGUGGAAAAUAUCAUAUUCUUAUCCUGUCAUCUACCAGGCAAAGAUUAAAAAAAUAACAUCUUGGAGAUAAAAUAAUUAUAAACGUUACAAAAUAAAUUCUCACUUUGAAGGCAUGAAUGGACGAAAAAGAAUUACUGAGAAAGAGUCACAAAAUCACCAACUAAUCUCUGUAAAGGAGAUCAAAUUAGUCCAUGAAUAAACAUUGUGUAAUGACUUGCAAAAUGUCUGAGACUGGG